CCAUGCAUGUCUAAGUAUAAGCUUUUUAUACGGCGAAACUGCGAAUGGCUCAUUAAAACAGUUAUAGUUUAUUUGAUAGUCUUUCAUUGGAAGCAAUUCUAAUACUACUACAUGGAUAACCGUGGUAAUUCUAUGGCUAAUACAUGCGUAAAUAUCCUUUUUCGCAAGGAAAAGGAUAGUGUUUAUUAGAUACAGAACCAAUACGCCAGUUUCGUAAGAACUGGUGUCAUAGAAAGGUGAUUCAUAGUAACCGAACGGAUCGCAUUAUGGUCAUUAUUUUUAUAAUGGCUGGCGAUAGAUCAUUCAAGUUUCUGACCUAUCAGCUUUCGACGGUAGUGUAUUGGACUACCGUGGCAGUGACGGGUAACGGGGAAUUAGGGUUCGAUUCCGGAGAGGGAGCCUGAGAAACGGCUACCACAUCUAAGGAAGGCAGCAGGCGCGCAAAUUACCCAAUCCUGACUCAGGGAGGUAGUGACAAGAAAUAACAACACUGGAAAUUUUAUUUCUAGUGAUUGGAAUGAUGGGAAUUUAAACCCCUUUCAGAGUAACAAUUGGAGGGCAAGUCUGGUGCCAGCAGCCGCGGUAAUUCCAGCUCCAAUAGCGUAUAUUAAAGUUGUUGCAGUUAAAAAGCUCGUAGUUGGAUGUCUGCUGGAAGCAAUCAGUCCGCCCUAUUUGUGGGGUGUGCACUUGAUGAAUUCUGGCAUUUUUGUCCCAAUAUUAUGAUGUAGAAUGUGGGACACAGAGUGUUAUUGGGCGAAAGUUCAAUAGCAUGUCUGUGUUCCGAUUCUUAUUAUAUUGGGAUACUGUUACUUUGAGAAAAUUAGAGUGUUUGAAGCAGGCUUUGAAUUGCCUUGAAUACUGCAGCAUGGAAUAACAAUAUAGGAUUUCGGUUCUAUUUUGUUGGUUUCUAGGACUGAAAUAAUGAUUAAUAGGGACAGUUGGGGGCAUUCGUAUUUAACUGUCAGAGGUGAAAUUCUUAGAUUUGUUAAAGACGAACUACUGCGAAAGCAUUUGCC
rnacentral:rRNA from 1 species